GAAAAUGUGGGAUCCGGUGAAGAACUCGCAAGGCAUGUCAUGAUGUCGGGAUGCAUCGAUGAAGCCACACGGAAAGGUGGCUACAAUCAAACUUUCUGGUCAGAUUUAACACACCACAGAAUCAAGAUUGAUUAACAUAAAGGACAGGGACGAGCCCUGCCAUUUUCCCGUCCCUUCCAGGGCGUUUCUUUUUCACAUAAAACCAGCCAUCUACUUCGUACUCGAUAUCAAC
rnacentral:misc_RNA from 1 species